rnacentral:tRNA from 1 species
AAGGCCUUAAGUUAAAUAAACUAAUAUCCUUCAAAGCUAUAAAUAAAGGAACUACCUUUAGGCCUUG